rnacentral:rRNA from 1 species
GACGAACGCUGGCGGCGUGCUUAACACAUGCAAGUCGAACGAUGACGACCGAGCUUGCUCGGUCUGAUUAGUGGCGAACGGGUGAGUAACACGUGAGCAACCUGCCCUUCACUCUGGGAUAACCUCGGGAAAUCGGGGCUAAUACCGGAUAUGAGCUCCUGUCGCAUGGCGGGUGUUGGAAAGUUUUUCGGUGAAGGAUGGGCUCGCGGCCUAUCAGUUUGUUGGUGAGGUAGUGGCUCACCAAGGCGAUGACGGGUAGCCGGCCUGAGAGGGCGACCGGCCACACUGGGACUGAGACACGGCCCAGACUCCUACGGGAGGCAGCAGUGGGGAAUAUUGCACAAUGGGCGAAAGCCUGAUGCAGCGACGCCGCGUGAGGGAUGACGGCCUUCGGGUUGUAAACCUCUUUCAGCAGGGAAGAAGCGAAAGUGACGGUACCUGCAGAAGAAGCGCCGGCUCCCUACGUG